GACGAACGCUGGCGGCGUGCCUAAUACAUGCAAGUAGAACGCUGAAGAGAGGAGCUUGCUCUUCUUGGAUGAGUUGCGAACGGGUGAGUAACGCGUAGGUAACCUGCCUGGUAGCGGGGGAUAACUAUUGGAAACGAUAGCUAAUACCGCAUAAUAGCAGUUAUUGCAUGAUAACUGUUUGAAAGGUGCAAUUGCAUCACUACCAGAUGGACCUGCGUUGUAUUAGCUAGUUGGUGGGGUAACGGCUCACCAAGGCGACGAUACAUAGCCGACCUGAGAGGGUGAUCGGCCACACUGGGACUGAGACACGGCCCAGACUCCUACGGGAGGCAGCAGUAGGGAAUCUUCGGCAAUGGACGGAAGUCUGACCGAGCAACGCCGCGUGAGUGAAGAAGGUUUUCGGAUCGUAAAGCUCUGUUGUAAGAGAAGAACGAGUGUGAGAGGGAAAGUUCACA
rnacentral:rRNA from 1 species